rnacentral:rRNA from 1 species
UUUCUUUCAUCUAUAGACGAGAAUGGGAAGGAUCAGUAUUUUUUUCUUUUUUACUAAUAAUCUUCCAACUUUUAUUAAAAAUAAAAAUWUUUUUAUAUAUGAACAAGACGACAAGACCCUGUCGAACUUAACUGAAGUUAAGCUGGGGAAGCUAAUUAAUUAACACUUUAAUUAAAAUAACUAUCAUAAAGACCCAAUUACACUGAACACAUGAACAAGUUACCGCAGGAAUAACAGCGUAAUAAUUUUUUAAAGCUCAUAUUUUAAAAAUAGAUUGCGACCUCGAUGUUGAAUUAAUUCCCUUUUAUAAGCAAAAAUAUAAAAAGAAGGUCUGUUCGACCAUUAAACUUUUACAUGAUCUGAGUUCAAACCGGAGA